GUUUGUUCUAUAUUUUAUCUUUUCCCCCUUCAGAAUGAGUCGGUCUGUCUAAGGUUUUCAAAUGCUAUUGGUAUAUGUCAACAACAACGUGCCCAGUGUAAUCCCACUCAAGUAGGGUCUGGGGAGGGUAGAGUGUACGCAGACCUUACCCCUACCAUGGUAGGUAGAGAGGCUGUUUCUAUUGAUAUAUGUCAAGGUUCAUAAUACUUUGCACAGCCCUUAGGAUAGCCUUCUAUUGUUCUUUGAUGCAUCUUGGCUCAUCGUUGUGACACGUCAUACCCCCCACAACUAUGUCUUAUACAUAAUAUACUAGUGUGCAAUAAAUUGGAGUUUUCCCGAAAAACAUUGCCAGUUUCAAUUUUUUUUUUUUUUUUUUUUGAGGUUUUCAAAGUAAUAGUGAUACCUAGAUAGAUGUGCUUAUUGGUUUUAUUCUAUUGUGCUUUUCUACUAAUUUUAUUUGCAAGAUGUGUGAUGUGGUAGUUGGACCUCCAUUGGGAUUCAGACGUUUGCUAAAAUUUUAUGUGUAUUGAAAUAUUGAGCUGGCACAGCUUCUGGAAAUAAUUGGCGUGUAAAACAAAAGCAGCAGGUAGAAGGAAAAGUGAUGUGAUGAAUUUUAGAAAAAUACAAAGGUUUACUUCACCUACUCCAUGCAUGAUUGAAGUGUCGAGUGUAGCUACUAGUGUAAAAACCACAUGGAACACUCUGAUUGUUAAGAAAUAUUUUGGUGUUCCAUCCUUUAUGUGAAUCAAUGAGAAUCCGUUGUCUUUUUUCUUGGGAAGGACAUUCGAAAUUUGUGCAACCGGACGCUGCAUUUUGCAUGUAACUAGCCUAUGGCUAUCAUUAAAUAAAAUGUGCCUAUUUUUUUCUGUUUUCUGUGCCCUUCAGCAAAGAG